rnacentral:rRNA from 1 species
UGGGGAAUAUUGGACAAUGGGGGCAACCCUGAUCCAGCAAUGCCGCGUGUGUGAAGAAGGUCUUCGGAUUGUAAAGCACUUUCGACGGGGACGAUGAUGACGGUACCCGUAGAAGAAGCCCCGGCUAACUUCGUGCCAGCAGCCGCGGUAAUACGAAGGGGGCUAGCGUUGCUCGGAAUGACUGGGCGUAAAGGGCGUGUAGGCGGUUUACACAGUCAGAUGUGAAAUCCCCGGGCUUAACC